GGCAUUGUAGCUCAGUUUGGUGGAGCGGACGCCUCGUAAGCGUCAGGUCGCCGGUUCGAGUCCGGCCAUUGCCUCUA
rnacentral:tRNA from 3 species